rnacentral:lncRNA from 1 species
UGUAAGCCACAGUUUUGAAACCGUUGCCUAUUGUUCAUUUACAAAAACCGUUCUCUAAUACAAAUAGAUAAUAUACUAAAGCAAUUUACCAAGGUAAUAAUACUUCAAUUUUUAACUUAACAAAAAGAGAUAUGGUAAUCUAGUAAACAAAAGGCAAAGGAAAAAAAUUAAAACAGCGUAUGAAGGGAUUGAAAUCCCUAGAGAAAUCCUCACUUCUCUUCGGCGAUGGCGAUUUCACCAUGGGAGAAGUUGUGGUUGUUUUUCUAACCGAAGCUUCUUCUGUUCAUGGCGAUGGAGGAAAGCGGCGGGAACCACCUAUCCCACUGUGGCCCCAUGAAAAGGUUACGCUACUUUCUCCCUUUUAUUUUCUUCCACCCUCUCAUUUUUGUGUGAAGAAAGUCAAGUUGGACAUUUUUGCUUACAAUUUAAAGUGUUGAAACGUUUGGUAUUCUACUUUCAUUUCCUCUUCUCUUCACACAGAGGUAACCGACU